GGUUCGAUCCUGGCUCAGAUUGAACGCAUGGCGGGAUCUUACAUGCAAGUCGAACGGCAGCACGGACUUCGGUCUGGUGGCGAGUGGCGAACAGGUGAGUAAUGUAUCGGAACGUGCCUAGUAGCCAGGGAUAACUACGCGAAAGCGUAGCUAAUACCACUACCCUUGUCGGGGAAAGCGGGGAGCCUUCGGGCCUCGCCACUAUUAGAGCGGCCGAUAUCGGAUUAGCUAGUUGGUGGGGUAACGGCUCACCAAGGCGAGCGAUCCGUAGCUGGUUUGAGAGGACGACCAGCCACACUGGGACUGAGACACGGCCCAGACUCCUGCAGGCUGACGGUGAGGAAUUUUGGACAAUGGGAAACCUGAUCCAGCCAUCCCGCGUGUGCGAUGAAGGCCUUCGGGUUGUAAAGCGCACGGCGGAAAGCGGCGGGAUGAUACCCGUGCAACCUUUGAUACCUGCGAAUAAGCACCAGCUAACUACGUGCCAGCAGCCGCGGUAAUACGUGAAGGUGCAAAGCGUUAAUCGGAAUUACUGGGCGUAAAGCGUGCGAGCGGUUCGGAAGAAGAUGUAGAAUCGAACCAACUUUGGAACACAAAUUUUUUUAACUGCAAGAACUAGGUGUGUCAGAAGGUGGAAUUAUGAUGUAUGAUGAAAUAAAUGAUAUGCGGAGAACACCGAUGGCGAAGGCAGCCUCCUGGGGAUAACACUGACGCUCAUGCACAAGCGAUGAGGAGCAAACAGGAUUAGAUACCCUGGUAGUCCACGCCUAAACGUGUCAACUAGCUGUUGGGGCCUUCGGGCCUUGGUAGCGCAGCUAACGCGUGAAGUUGACCGCCUGGGAGUACGGUCGCGAUUAAAACUCAAAGGAAUUGACGGGGACCCGCACAAGCAGUGGAUGUGGAUUAAUUCGAUGCAACGCGAAAAACCUACCCUUGACAUGUCUGGAAUCCGAAAGAGAUUUGGGAGUGCUCGCAAGAGAACCGGAACAGGUGCAUGGCUGUCGUCAAGCUCGUGUCGUGAGAUGUUGGUUAAGUCCCGCGAGCAUGACGCCAGCUCUCAUUAGUUGCUACGAAAGGGCACUCUGGUAAGGACUGCCGGUGACGCAAACCGGAGGAAGGUGGGGAUGACGUCAAGUCCUCAUGGCCCAUAUGGGUAGGGGCUUCACACGUCAUACAAUGGUCGGGACAGAGGUCGCCAACCCGCGAGGGAGCCAAUCCAGAAACCCGAUCGUAGUCCGGAUCGCAGUCUGCAACUCGACUGCGUGAAGUCGGAAUCGCUAGUAAUCGCGGAUCAGCAUGUCGCGGUGAAUACGUUCCCGGGUCUUGUACACCGCCCCGUCACACCAUGGGAGUGGGUUUACCAAGUAGUUAGCCUAACCGUAAGGGCGAUUGCGGUAAGUUCGUGACUGGGGUGAAGUCGUAACAAGGUAA
rnacentral:rRNA from 1 species